GACGAACGCUGACGGUGUGCCUUAGACAUGCAAGUCGAACGAGAAAGCCCUUCGGGGUUAGUAAAGUGGCGAACGGGUGAGUAACACGUGGGCAAUCUGCCCCUCGCAGGGGGACAACCGGAGGAAACCCCGGCUAAUACCCCGUAAGUUCAAAGGGAGGCAUCUCCCUUCGAAGAAAGGUAGCUUCGGCCAUCCGGCGAGGGAUGAGCCCGCGGUGCAUUAGCUAGUUGGUGGGGUAACGCCCACCAAGGCGACGAUGCAUAGCUGGUCUGAGAGGAUGAUCAGCCACACUGGGACUGAGACACGGCCCAGACUCC
rnacentral:rRNA from 1 species